rnacentral:rRNA from 1 species
GCAAGUCGAACGAGAAAAUCUCCUUCGGGGGAUGAGUACAGUGGCAGACGGGUGAGUAACACGUGGGUAACCUGCCCGGAGGUGGGGGAUAACUCUCCGAAAGGAGAGCUAAUACCGCAUAACACCUCGAGGUCCUCGGGCUUCGAGUUCAAAACAGGCCUCUACAUGUAAGCUUGUGCCACCGGAGGGGCCCGCGCCCCAUUAGCUUGUUGGUGAGGUAACGGCUCACCAAGGCUGCGAUGGGUAGCCGGCCUGAGAGGGUGAUC